rnacentral:rRNA from 1 species
GAGUUUGAUCGUGGCUCAGGACGAACGCUGGCGGCGUGCUUAACACAUGCAAGUCGAACGAGAAUCUACUGAAAGAGUUUUCGGACAAUGGAAGUAGAGGAAAGUGGCGGACGGGUGAGUAACGCGUGAGGAACCUGCCUUGAAGAGGGGGACAACAGUUGGAAACGACUGCUAAUACCGCAUGAUGCAUAAGGGUCGCAUGAUUCUUAUGCCAAAGAUUUAUCGCUUCAAGAUGGCCUCGCGUCUGAUUAGCUAGUUGGCGGGGUAACGGCCCACCAAGGCGACGAUCAGUAGCCGGACUGAGAGGUUGAACGGCCACAUUGGGACUGAGAUACGGCCCAGACUCCUACGGGAGGCAGCAGUGGGGAAUAUUGGGCAAUGGGCGCAAGCCUGACCCAGCAACGCCGCGUGAAGGAAGAAGGCUUUCGGUAUGUAAACUUCUAUCAGCAGGGAAGAAAAUGACGGUACCUGACUAAGAAGCCCGGCUACUACGUGCCAGCCGCCGCCGU